AUAUAUAUAUAUAUAUAUAUAUAUUGAAACGCAGAAGGCUGAAACACUGGGAGCAAUCACCAUCAACAACAAUGCUUCGGUGAUCCUCGCAACAACACUUUUCCCCCAACAAUUUUUGUACGUCGAACGAAGCACGAUGUUUUUAGGUUAAGAAACUUGAGAGAAGUGAGCCAUGAUUUCUUCGUGCCUUUUGAAGGGAAGAACGAUCUACUCGAUUGGAUCGAACGCGAUUUAAAUACCGAUCAAUCAAAUAUCGUAGAACUUUGUUUAUCUGAAAGCUGAAGUUAUUCAUGGAGGAAAUAAUGUGCAUAUAUAACAAGAGCCUAUACUAUACAUGACCCUAUGACAAAGCCAUAUUGAUCAUCUGUAUAAAUUGAAAAGUAGAGAAGAGUGACGAUGUUGCAGACACUAUUUCUUAAUCUUACUUUAGAAUUUAUUAUUAUUUUUGUUAUCUCUUUGCAAUAAAUGAUCUUGUGAAAGUAAGUCAUUUGUUUAUUGAGAAUUGAAUAUUAAUCAUGUAGUCACGCAAUGAAACUGAGAAAUUGACAAAAAGUGAUGCUGAUCAAUUUGGCUUAUGAGGCGCUUAAUAAAAGUUCAUAUUCAGGAUUCUCUUGCACAAUAAUUUAUCAUAAAUAUUAAUAAAAUUAAUAAAUUGACAAAUUAUGAAUUUUAUGUGUUAGACUUCUCUUUUAUAGGCACAUGUUAAAUAGGAUAAGCAAAUGACUUGUGAUUUGUAAAAGUUCAUUUAUUUUAUUAUCAAAAGAACUUAUUAAUACUGAUAAUUUGUAACUUAUGAUUAGUAAAAUGUCACUAAUAAUACUAAUUUCAUUGUGCAAGAGGGACCAAAUAAUCAGUUAACAAAAUUACGUUUCAAUAAAUGAAGUUCUACUAUAUAAACAGACACACAUACAUUCGUUUGAGUUAAACGCGUCUCUCUCUCUCUCUCUCUCUCUCUUUCUCUCUCGUUUUACGUUGCAUCUUUUUUUUCUUAACCCUAGAAAAAUAAACACGGACUGAAUUACCGACAUAACGCAUGCGUCUAGUUAUUUUUUUCUUUGUCUCUUUUCUUUCCAGAUCGAAACAGUGGAUCCUUUCGAUCGCCAUUCGAUAUACCGACACACGGUUUAGUUUUCCAUGCGAUGAAGAUACGGGAGAGUGUGUAUGUAUUGAGUUUUGAGCGAAUAUGUAGUAUGCCUAUCAUCGAGAGGGAUUUCAUUGUUAGAUAUACAUACACUUGUGUUUAUAAGUACAUAAGCAAAAGGCAGACGCAGAAAGAAUUAUGAGAUAAACGAGGAUGAAACACUGGCGUAAAGAUUAAGAACUUUAGUUAACGUUUAGCAGCUAGAGAGUACGUAGGAAUUGUUAGCAGCGAGUACACAAUGAAGAUACAACCAUGUUAUUAAUAUUGUCUAUCGGUUAUACACGUGAUUAUCUAAGGCCGACGUUAAAAAGCUUGCAAUGGAGAAGAAGCAUAACGAAAGAGAGAAGAAGAAAGAAAAUGGAAGAGAGUUUCAGUUUCUCGUACCUGACGCGACAACUUUUUCUAUCACGCGUUCAUCGUUUUUCUACGAUUUUCAACGCCGCUAUUUCCACGUUUUUCACACUUCGUUCGCCACGAAAACAUUUCGUGUCGCGACAGGUACGGAGAGACCAUUUAUAUAAAGAUAGGGUUAACCUUUAAAAUUCCACGAUGAAAGUGUAACUAAUGGAACUUUGAUAUAUCGUACCUUCGAGGAAUUAAGAUAAACCUUGUUCAAGGAUAAUGUACAAAAAUCUCGCGGUCGAUGUUCGCGCGAGGACGCACGAGGGCCUAAGAAGUCGAGAUACGAGUUUUCUUCGAUCAUUUUCAUCUUUUCUUUCCUUUCCUAAUUUUUCUUUUUUCUCUGACGUGGAAAAAGAUAAUUCGACGAUUUCUUCGGUAAAUUUCGUCAAUCGUUUUUUCGAGAGUGAUUUUAUACGAUUGUAAUGGCGUGUAUGCGCGCGAUCGAUCUCCCCUCUUUCGGCUCUGAAUGCGUGAUCACGCGUACGCGACACUUUUCGUUUUCUCGUGUUUCUUGCUACUCGAUAACGUGCGUUUUGAUAAUUUAGUCAAGUCGCGAAUAAAAUAUGAACAUGAAUAUUACAGAUCUGCAAGGAAAUUAAAUUGUCAGCGUUUAUCGUGUCAAUAAUAUUUUUUAAGUUUUAAUAAAUCAGUGUUAUUUAAACGAUACUUCACACUUUCUUUUAUUAGAAUAUUUUCUUCUCUAUGAACACUCACUUAAUGAUGUCUCUUCGAAGUAAUAGUUUUCAAGCGAAUUAUUUGGAAAAGACAGCCACUAAUUUUUGUGAAAUUAAGGUUUGCGAGAACUUCUUCGAAAUGAUAAUUAUUGAAAGGAUAUUGUAUCUUGUAGCAAGGAACACUUGUAAUUUAAAUAUUUGAGCGCUUCCAUAGAUUAUGGAAAAGCUUGUACAAUGUAUACGAGAAUGUUGCGCGCAUACAUUGCGUCUAAAUGUAAGAAAGAAGCAGUGACGAAUCUAGAGUACACGCGAGAAAACUACAUACGCUAUGCAUACGCAUUUACACAGCUUACUUUGCGAGCAUUUAGGGGAAAAAGCCUUAACCUUCCUAAGGCUUCGUGCAACUCGAUCAAAUCUCGUUUUCUCUCGAGCCAUACUUGUUCGAAUGUUAUUAAAAAUCUAAGAAUUUGAGAGAGAAUGUACUUGUUAUAUCUUUGGCGAACAAAUGCAGGCCUGAUUUAAUUAUAUUUCGUUUAUGACGAAACGAAGUUCUUAGGAAUGAUAAGAGCCACGGUGAAGAGUACGGUGAUGAGUAGACUGCGGACUUUUAUGGGAAUCUAUGGUUUUAUAAACACAACUAAAGAAAUAGAAUUCACUUGAUCAAUGAACUUUAUUGGUAGAGAUUUGUUUUAUGUAUUGAAUUAUUGAUAUGUAUUUUAUAUAUAUUUUUGCAUAUAUUAUAUGCAUUCUGUCCAUUUUUAUCUUUUACAUAAAUGCAUAGAAAUCCGCGGUCGGAUGAUAAACAAAAGUAUUGGCAUAGAUCAGCUUAUUUUGUAAACUUUUAUGUGGGUUUGUAAAAGACAUGGUUCUUUGUUUAUUUUUUUGUAAAAUAUAAGGAGCAAAAGUUGCAAAGUUAUGACAUUUAA
rnacentral:lncRNA from 1 species